rnacentral:lncRNA from 1 species
GGCCAGCCAUCAAUCAAACAAGAACAUGACUGACCGUCCAACCCAGCACCCAUGGUCCGGAAGCGCUACGUGAUGGGUUAGGGACGAUCCGGUCAUACACACAAAAUUUACUCCACGACCUAGACCAGUUCAUCCACUAACUCGUCCCGCUGCGUCAAGGCAAAAGGCUUUGCAACCCGUACCUAGAGUUAGCGUUUUCCGUUAGAUCGAAAUCUAAGGCUUUUCAACCUGUACUACGACCAAACGUUGUGUUACACCGGACUAGUCAAAUAUCAGAGUACUCAAGACGCGCAUAUAAAACAAUUUCUUUAUUGAUUCGAGAAAUAUCCAUACAUUGAUAUAAUUCGAGACCGGUCCCGGCCUAAUGCCAAAUCGAGUCAACUAAACACAAAUCCACAAUACCGUUAACAAAAGACAUGAAAAUCUACACCGGCGGUCCUAACGUCUGGCACCCAACUAUCUGAUCAUCCUUACCUAAAGCGACCUGCAAAAAGGACAACAGAGUUGGAUGAGUAACCUAAUGUGACUCAGUGAAUUAUGAUCCCCAACUAAUAAAUACAACCCCUCGCUAUCCCACCCCAAACAAUCUAAAGUGAGAGGUUCACCUAACAACAAAUCAGUCCAAUUCAAUAGAUAAGCAAUAUCAGAAAUAUGCAGCAGAUAAUAAUAGCAAGAUAAUUAACAAUAUGAAAUCAUAACCGCUAAUGACUUGCUAACCACUUAAACUCAAACUCAAACCAAUCUAGGGUUCAACAACCCUCUACACCCUCUACACUAUAACUAGGGCCCUAUGUGACUUAGUGUUCCUCCUCUAUCCUCGGCAAUAUCCUA